AGGACUGUAGUGCAGUGGUAUAGCAUCUACUUUGCAUGCAGAUGGUCACAGGUUCAAUCCCUGGCAUGUCGUG